rnacentral:rRNA from 1 species
GAUGAACGCAGGCGGCGUGCUUAACACAUGCAAGUCGAACGGGAUCCAUCGGGCUUUGCCUGGUGGCGAGAGUGGCGAAGGGGUGAGUAAUGCGUGACCGACCUGCCCCAUGCUGCGAACUAGCUCCUAGAAACGGGUGUGGAUGCCGGAUGUUCCACAUGAGCGCAUGUGAUUUUGGGAAAGAUUUCCGCGGCGUGGGAUGGGGUCGCGUCCUAUCAGCUUGUUGGUGAGGUAGCGGCUCACCAAGGUUUCGACGGGUAGCCGGCCUGAGAGGGCGACCGGCCACAUUGGGACUGAGAUACGGCCCAGACUCCUACGGGAGGCAGCAGUGGGGAAUAUUGCACAAUGGGCGCAAGCCUGAUGCAGCGACGCCGCGUGAGGGAUGGAGGCCUUCGGGUUGUAAACCUCUUUUGUUUGGGAGCAAGCCUUCGGGUGAGUGUACCUUUCGAAUAAGCGCCGGCUAACUACGUGCCAGCCGCCGCGGUAACAC